ensembl:lncRNA
AUGACGGAGCGCUGGCGCAGGCUGCCCAGGGAGGCUGUGGAUUCUCCUUGUCUGGAGAUAUUCCACACCCUCCUGGACGCCCACCUGUGCAGCCUGCUGUCGGGAGCCCGUUUUGCAGGGGGAUUAGACCCAGUGAUCUCUGGUGGUCCCUUGCAACCCCAGUUCUGUGAUUCUGUGAUUUUAUUUGUUGCUUCUUGCAGCAGUACAGUGUUUCAGAAGAGAGAAAAGCAUGGUGGGCAUCAACUGGAUUUCUGUGCUUGGUUGAGCUUGUCUAAGGGUGGUGAUUGCUGGGUGAGCUUCUGCUUUAAAGCAUCAGGUUGUACAAAGAAGGAACUGUACUGCGUUCAGUUCUGGGUCCCUCACUGCACGAAGGACACUGAAACCCUGACAUGUGUCCAGAGAGGAGCAGGGAAGCUGUGGGGGUCCAGAGCACCAGUCUUACGGGGAGCGGCUGAGGGAACUGGGAUUAUUUAGCCUGGAGAAGAGGAGGCUCAGGGAAGGCCUUCUCACACUCUGCAGUUGGCUGCAGAGAGGUGAUGUCGAGGUGGGGUCGUCCUCUUCUCCCGUGUAAGCAGUGAUAGACUGGAGGGAAGGCCUCAAGUGGCACGAGGGGAGAUUCAGGUCGGAUGUGAAGAAAAACGUCUCCACAGGAGCGGUCAGACACUGGAACGGGCUGCCCAGGGAGGUGACAUUGUUACUGUCCCUGCAGGUGUUCAAGGAGCAUUGGGUGUUGUACCGAGCGACGCGGCUCAGCGGGAAAUGGUGGUGGUAGGUGGGUGGUUGGACUGGAUGAUCUUGGAGAUCUUUUCCAGCCUUGCUAAUUCUACGGUUCUAUGAAAGGCAUGUGCUGGGCGAGUGCUUUGCUGGGUGAGCAGGCAGCUGCUGCCACAUCCACGGGGAUGGGAGGCUUUUUAACCUGAGCCUUGUCUUUGGUGUCUGGUGCCCAGUAAGUCGUGUUGUUUUAAAGCAGCGUCUCGAUUUCUGCAGCCACCAGAGCUCUCCCUCAUGCUCUUCCCUGUGACGUGAGACCGCGUCGAAGGCCUUGCAGACGUCUGGGUAGGUGAAGUCAGUUGCUGUUUCUUUCCCCACCAAUGCUGGAAAAGGCGUAUUUCAUUACGUAUUUCCUUUUCACUGACCUUUCAUGCUGCUUCUUGAAGAGUUACCUUUGGAUGCUAAAUUAACAUUCUACGUUAAUAUAUUAAUAUAACCUCAGUUUUCCCUCCUCCUUUCCUUUAGCUCCUCUUUAGAUAUCGAAAGGCUGUUACCAGGUCACCUCGGAGCCUUCGCUCCUCCACGCUGAACAGCCCCAGCUCUCUCAGCCUGUCCUUGGAGGAGAGGGGUUUGAUCCUUUGGUUCUUUGAUUUUUGGGACCGUCCUCUGGAUGUGCUCCAACGGGUCCGUGUCCCUUCUGCCCUGAGGACUCUUCGUAUGGACACAGCGCUCCAGGUGAGGCCUCUUCAGCACAGGGCAGAGGGGCAGGAUCACCUCUCCUCACCUGCUGACCGGAGCCUGUCUGGGUCCCUCUGGCUGGCGUCCCGUCCCUCUGCUGUGUCGCCGCUCCCCACAGCUCGGUGUCGUCAGCAAAUUCUCUGAGGGUGCGCCCGACCCGCCGGUGCUGUCACUGAUGCAGAUAUUGAAGAGUCUCAGCCCCAGCUCGGUGCUCUUUCCCAGCACAGAGGUGAGACUGUGAUGUUGGUAGCGGCCAGGAUCGUUCUUUCUUCCCUUGUCAAAAAUGGCUGUGAUGCUGCCUUUUUUCCAUUCACCAGGGACUUCACCUGAUUGCCAUGACUUCUCAAAUACCGCUGAGAGUGG